rnacentral:rRNA from 1 species
ACGGGGGGUGCAAGCGUUGUUCGGAAUUAUUGGGCGUAAAGCGCGCGUAGGCGGCUUGUUAAGUUAGAUGUGAAAUCCCUGGGCUUAACUCUGGAAGUGCUUUUGAAACUGCAUAGCUUGAGUACGGGAGAGGAAAGUGGAAUUCCUGGUGUAGAGGUGAAAUGCGUAGAUAUCAGGAGGAACACCAGUGGCGAAGGCGACUUUCUGGCCCGAAACUGACGCUCAGGCGCGAAAGCGUGGGGAGCAAACAG